rnacentral:rRNA from 1 species
UUAAGCGACUAAGCGUACACGGUGGAUGCCCUGGCAGUCAGAGGCGAUGAAGGACGUGCUAAUCUGCGAAAAGCGUCGGUAAGGUGAUAUGAACCGUUAUAACCGGCGAUGUCCGAAUGGGGAAACCCAGUGCAAUUCGUUGCACUAUCGUUAACUGAAUACAUAGGUUAACGAGGCGAACCGGGGGAACUGAAACAUCUAAGUACCCCGAGGAAAAGAAAUCAACCGAGAUUCCCCCAGUAGCGGCGAGCGAACGGGGAGCAGCCCAGAGUCUGAAUCAGCUUGUGUGUUAGUGGAACGGUCUGGAAAGUCCGACGGUACAGGGUGAUAGUCCCGUACACCAAAAUGCACAGGUUGUGAACUCGAAGAGUAGGGCGGGACACGUGGUAUCCUGUCUGAAUAUGGGGGGACCAUCCUCCAAGGCUAAAUACUCCUGACUGACCGAUAGUGAACCAGUACCGUGAGGGAAAGGCGAAAAGAACCCCGGCGAGGGGAGUGAAAAAGAACCUGAAACCGUGUACGUACAAGCAGUGGGAGCACCUUCGGGUGUGACUGCGUACCUUUUGUAUAAUGGGUCAGCGACUUAUAUUCUGUAGCAAGGUUAACCGUAUAGGGGAGCCGCAGGGAAACCGAGUCUUAACUGGGCGUUAAGUUGCAGGGUAUAGACCCGAAACCCGGUGAUCUAGCCAUGGGCAGGUUGAAGGUUGGGUAACACUAACUGGAGGACCGAACCGACUAAUGUUGAAAAAUUAGCGGAUGACUUGUGGCUGGGGGUGAAAGGCCAAUCAAACCGGGAGAUAGCUGGUUCUCCCCGAAAGCUAUUUAGGUAGCGCCUCGUGAACUCAUCUUCGGGGGUAGAGCACUGUUUCGGCUAGGGGGUCAUCCCGACUUACCAACCCGAUGCAAACUACGAAUACCGAAGAAUGUUAUCACGGGAGACACACGGCGGGUGCUAACGUCCGUCGUGAAGAGGGAAACAACCCAGACCGCCAGCUAAGGUCCCAAAGUCAUGGUUAAGUGGGAAACGAUGUGGGAAGGCACAGACAGCCAGGAUGUUGGCUUAGAAGCAGCCAUCAUUUAAAGAAAGCGUAAUAGCUCACUGGUCGAGUCGGCCUGCGCGGAAGAUGUAACGGGGCUAAACCAUGCACCGAAGCUGCGGCAGCGACACUAUGUGUUGUUGGGUAGGGGAGCGUUCUGUAAGCCUGCGAAGGUGUGCUGUGAGGCAUGCUGGAGGUAUCAGAAGUGCGAAUGCUGACAUAAGUAACGAUAAAGCGGGUGAAAAGCCCGCUCGCCGGAAGACCAAGGGUUCCUGUCCAACGUUAAUCGGGGCAGGGUGAGUCGACCCCUAAGGCGAGGCCGAAAGGCGUAGUCGAUGGGAAACAGGUUAAUAUUCCUGUACUUGGUGUUACUGCGAAGGGGGGACGGAGAAGGCUAUGUUAGCCGGGCGACGGUUGUCCCGGUUUAAGCAUGUAGGCUGGUUAUCCAGGCAAAUCCGGAUAAUCAAGGCUGAGGUGUGAUGACGAGGCACUACGGUGCUGAAGUAACAAAUGCCCUGCUUCCAGGAAAAGCCUCUAAGCAUCAGGUAACAUUAAAUCGUACCCCAAACCGACACAGGUGGUCAGGUAGAGAAUACCAAGGCGCUUGAGAGAACUCGGGUGAAGGAACUAGGCAAAAUGGUGCCGUAACUUCGGGAGAAGGCACGCUGGUGUGUAGGUGAAGCCCCUGCGGGUGGAGCUGAGACCAGUCGAAGAUACCAGCUGGCUGCAACUGUUUAUUAAAAACACAGCACUGUGCAAACACGAAAGUGGACGUAUACGGUGUGACGCCUGCCCGGUGCCGGAAGGUUAAUUGAUGGGGUUAUCCGUAAGGAGAAGCUCUUGAUCGAAGCCCCGGUAAACGGCGGCCGUAACUAUAACGGUCCUAAGGUAGCGAAAUUCCUUGUCGGGUAAGUUCCGACCUGCACGAAUGGCGUAAUGAUGGCCAGGCUGUCUCCACCCGAGACUCAGUGAAAUUGAACUCGCUGUGAAGAUGCAGUGUACCCGCGGCAAGACGGAAAGACCCCGUGAACCUUUACUAUAGCUUGACACUGAACAUUGAGCCUUGAUGUGUAGGAUAGGUGGGAGGCUUUGAAGCGUGGACGCCAGUCUGCGUGGAGCCAACCUUGAAAUACCACCCUUUAAUGUUUGAUGUUCUAACGUUGGCCCCUGACCGGGGUUGCGGACAGUGUCUGGUGGGUAGUUUGACUGGGGCGGUCUCCUCCCAAAGCGUAACGGAGGAGCACGAAGGUUAGCUAAUCCUGGUCGGACAUCAGGAGGUUAGUGCAAUGGCAUAAGCUAGCUUGACUGCGAGCGUGACGGCGCGAGCAGGUGCGAAAGCAGGUCAUAGUGAUCCGGUGGUUCUGAAUGGAAGGGCCAUCGCUCAACGGAUAAAAGGUACUCCGGGGAUAACAGGCUGAUACCGCCCAAGAGUUCAUAUCGACGGCGGUGUUUGGCACCUCGAUGUCGGCUCAUCACAUCCUGGGGCUGAAGUAGGUCCCAAGGGUAUGGCUGUUCGCCAUUUAAAGUGGUACGCGAGCUGGGUUUAGAACGUCGUGAGACAGUUCGGUCCCUAUCUGCCGUGGGCGCUGGAGAAUUGAGGGGGGCUGCUCCUAGUACGAGAGGACCGGAGUGGACGCAUCACUGGUGUUCGGGUUGUCAUGCCAAUGGCACUGCCCGGUAGCUAAAUGCGGAAGAGAUAAGUGCUGAAAGCAUCUAAGCACGAAACUUGCCCCGAGAUGAGUUCUCCCUGAGACUUUAAGUCUCCUGAAGGAACGUUAAAGACGAUGACGUUGAUAGGCCGGGUGUGUAAGCGCAGCGAUGCGUUGAGCUAACCGGUACUAAUGAACCGUGAGGCUUAACCUU